rnacentral:rRNA from 1 species
GGAAUCUUCCACAAUGGACGAAAGUCUGAUGGAGCAACGCCGCGUGAGUGAAGAAGGGUUUCGGCUCGUAAAGCUCUGUUGUUAGAGAAGAACGUGCGUGAGAGCAACUGUUCACGCAGUGACGGUAUCUAACCAGAAAGUCACGGCUAACUACGUGCCAGCAGCCGCGGUAAUACGUAGGUGGCAAGCGUUAUCCGGAUUUAUUGGGCGUAAAGCGAGCGCAGGCGGUUUCUUAAGUCUGAUGUGAAAGCCUUCGGCUUAACCGAAGAAGUGCAUCGGAAACUGGGAAACUUGAGUGCAGAAGAGGACAGUGGAACUCCAUGUGUAGCGGUGAAAUGCGUAGAUAUAUGGAAGAACACCAGUGGCGAAGGCGGCUGUCUGGUCUGUAACUGACGCUGAGGCUCGAAAGCAUGGGUAGCGAACA